rnacentral:rRNA from 1 species
CCUGGUUGAUCCUGCCAGUAGUCAUAUGCUUGUCUCAAAGAUUAAGCCAUGCAUGUUUGAGUUUCAGCCCGUGUAGGGUUAAACUGCGAAUGGCUCAUUAAAACAGCAGUUGUUUUCUCGACAGUUUGUUAUCGCAUUAUGGGUAACUGUGGCAAUCCUAGAGCUAAUACGUGAGCCGUGACGUUGCUUAUUGCAGCGUUGAUUAUGUCAGGUUUGUAGCUAUCCCGCUUUGCGGAGCUCAAAUGAGUGCAGGUGUAUUCGGAGCGCAUGGAACGUGCCAGCGCUGAAUCGUUAAAGCUUCUGACCUAUCAGCUUGCGAUGGUAGAGUAUUGGUCUACCAUGGCUUUGACGGGUAGCGAGGAAUUAGGGUUCGACUUCGGAGAGGGAGCCUGAGUAACGGCUACCACGUCUAAGGAAGGCAGCAGGCGCGUAAAUUACCCAAUCCUAAUGCGGGGAGGUAGUGACAAGAAAUAACGAAGCGAGCCAGAAUUCUGGUUUUGCUAUUGAAAUGAGCCAAAUUUAAAAUCAUUAACGACUAGCCAUUGGAGGGCAAGUCUGGUGCCAGCAGCCGCGGUAAUUCCAGCUCCACUAGCGUAUAUUAAAGUUGCUGCGGUUAAAAAGCUCGUAGUUUGAUAUCUGUCAAUGCUUUUCGGUCUGCUCUUUGAGAUGGAUUAUGCAUUCGCUUUGGCAUCUACGCGUGAAUCGGUGCUGUGCUUGAUUGCAUGGCUCUGUACUCGCGUCUUUUACUUUGAAGAAAAUAGGGUGUUCACAGUAGGCAAUUGUCUUGUAUAUAUUAGCAUGGGAUAAUAAUCUAGGGUUUCGUGCUCUUUCAGGUGGCUCGAAGAGUGGAAGCAAUGGUUAAUAGGGGCUGUUGGGGGUCUUCGGAUUAUCGCGUCAGAGGUGGAAUUCUUAGAUUGCGCUACGACGCACGAAUGCGAAAGCAUUUGCCAAAGAUGUUUUCAUUGAUCAAGAACGAAAGUAUAGGGAUCGAAGAUGAUUAGAUACCGUCGUAGUCUAUACUAUAAACUAUGCCAACUAGAGAUUGGAAGGAUGUCUUUCAGAUUCUUCCAGCAUCUUACGAGAAAUUAAAGUUUUUGGGUUCCGGGGGGAGUAUGGUCGCAAGGCUGAAACUUA